rnacentral:rRNA from 1 species
AACGAACGCUGGCGGCAUGCCUAACACAUGCAAGUCGAACGAGACCUUCGGGUCUAGUGGCGCACGGGUGCGUAACGCGUGGGAACCUGCACUUAGGUUCGGAAUAACUCCCCGAAAGGGGUGCUAAUACCGGAUAAUGUCUUCGGACCAAAGAUUUAUCGCCUUUGGAUGGGCCAGCGUUGGAUUAGCUAGUUGGUAGGGUAAAAGCCUACCAAGGCGACGAUCCAUAGCUGGGCUGAGAGGAUGAUCAGCCACACUGGGACUGAGACACGGCCCAGACUCCUACGGGAGGCAGCAGUGGGGAAUAUUGGACAAUGGGCGAAAGCCUGAUCCAGCAAUGCCGCGUGAGUGAUGAAGGCCUUAGGGUUGUAAAGCUCUUUUACCCGGGAUGAUAAUGACAGUACCGGGAGAAUAAGCUCCGGCUAACUCCGUG